rnacentral:rRNA from 1 species
CGAGCGAAACGGGAAGAGCCCAAACCAACAAGCUUGCUUGUUGGGGUUGUAGGACUCCAAUAUGGUAGUCUGUUAGUAUAGUUGAAGGAUUUGGAAAAUUCCGCUAAAGAGGGUGAAAGCCCCGUAGACGAAAUGCUGACAACACCUAGGAGGAUCCUGAGUACGGCGGAACACGAGAAAUUCCGUCGGAAUCCGCGGGGACCAUCCCGCAAGGCUAAAUACUCCCUAGUGACCGAUAGUGAACCAGUACCGUGAGGGAAAGGUGAAAAGCACCCCGGAAGGGGAGUGAAAUAGAUCCUGAAACCGUGUGCCUACAACAAGUCAAAGCUCGUUAAUGAGUGAUGGCGUGCCUUUUGUAGAAUGAACCGGCGAGUUACGAUUGCAUGCGAGGUUAAGUCGAAGAGACGGAGCCGCAGCGAAAGCGAGUCUGAAUAGGGCGAAUGAGUAUGUAGUCGUAGACCCGAAACCAUGUGAUCUACCCAUGUCCAGGUUGAAGGUGCGGUAAAACGCACUGGAGGACCGAACCCACGUACGUUGAAAAGUGCGGGGAUGAGGUGUGGGUAGCGGAGAAAUUCCAAACGAACUUGGAGAUAGCUGGUUCUCUCCGAAAUAGCUUUAGGGCUAGCCUCGGAAUUGAGAAUGAUGGAGGUAGAGCACUGUUUGGACUAGGGGCCCAUCUCGGGUUACCGAAUUCAGAUAAACUCCGAAUGCCAUUCAUUUAUAUCCGGGAGUCAGACUGCGAGUGAUAAGAUCCGUAGUCGAAAGGGAAACAGCCCAGACCACCAGCUAAGGUCCCAAAAUAUAUGUUAAGUGGAAAAGGAUGUGGGGUUGCACAGACAACUAGGAUGUUGGCUUAGAAGCAGCCACCAUUUAAAGAGUGCGUAAUAGCUCACUAGUCGAGUGACCCUGCGCCGAAAAUGUACCGGGGCUAAACAUAUUACCGAAGCUGUGGACUACACCAUUAGGUGUAGUGGUAGGAGAGCGUUCUAAGGGCGUUGAAGGUCGAUCGUGAGGACGGCUGGAGCGCUUAGAAGUGAGAAUGCCGGUAUGAGUAGCGAAAGACAGGUGAGAAUCCUGUCCGCCGUAUGACUAAGGUUUCCUGGGGAAGGCUCGUCCGCCCAGGGUUAGUCGGGACCUAAGCCGAGGCCGAUAGGCGUAGGCGAUGGACAACAGGUUGAUAUUCCUGUACCAGUUGUUUUUGUUUGAGCAAUGGAGGGACGCAGUAGGCUAAGGAAUGCAUGCGAUUGGAAGUGCAUGUCCAAGCAAUGAGUCUUGAGUAGAGUUAAAUGCUUUACUCUUUAAGGACAAGUUGUGACGGGGAGCGAAAUAAUAGUAGCGAAGUUCCUGAUGUCACACUGCCAAGAAAAGCUUCUAGUGAGAAAACAACUGCCCGUACCGUAAACCGACACAGGUAGUCGAGGAGAGUAUCCUAAGGUGAGCGAGCGAACUCUCGUUAAGGAACUCGGCAAAAUGACCCCGUAACUUCGGGAGAAGGGGUGCUGACUUCGGUCAGCCGCAGUGAAUAGGCCCAAGCGACUGUUUAUCAAAAACACAGGUCUCUGCAAAAUCGUAAGAUGAAGUAUAGGGGCUGACGCCUGCCCGGUGCUGGAAGGUUAAGAGGAUGGGUUAGCUUCGGCGAAGCUCAGAAUUGAAGCCCCAGUAAACGGCGGCCGUAACUAUAACGGUCCUAAGGUAGCGAAAUUCCUUGUCGGGUAAGUUCCGACCCGCACGAAAGGCGUAACGAUUUGGGCACUGUCUCAACGAGAGACUCGGUGAAAUUUUAGUACCUGUGAAGAUGCAGGUUACCCGCGACAGGACGGAAAGACCCCAUGGAGCUUUACUGUAGUUUGAUAUUGAGUGUUUGUACCACAUGUACAGGAUAGGUAGGAGCCGAUGAGACCGGAACGCUAGUUUCGGAGGAGGCGCUGGUGGGAUACUACCCUUGUGUUAUGAACCCUCUAACCCGCACCACUAAUCGUGGUGGGAGACAGUGUCAGAUGGGCAGUUUGACUGGGGCGGUCGCCUCCUAAAAGGUAACGGAGGCGCCCAAAGGUUCCCUCAGAAUGGUUGGAAAUCAUUCGAAGAGUGUAAAGGCAGAAGGGAGCUUGACUGCGAGACCUACAAGUCGAGCAGGGACGAAAGUCGGGCUUAGUGAUCCGGUGGUUCCGCAUGGAAGGGCCAUCGCUCAACGGAUAAAAGCUA